rnacentral:pre_miRNA from 1 species
CCAUGCUUCCUUGCAUUCAAUAGUUAUAUUCAAGCAUAUGGAAUGUAAAGAAGUAUGGAG